UACGUAGGGUGCAAGCGUUGUCCGGAUUUACUGGGUUUAAAGGGUGCGUAGGCGGCUUGCUAAGUCGUGGAUGAAAUGUCGGGGCUCAACCUCGGCGCUGUUUACGAUACUGGCAGGCUCGAGCGAUCAUGAGGCAGCUAGAAUGAGUGGUGUAGCGGUGAAAUGCGUAGAGAUCACUCAGAAUACCAAUUGCGAAGGCAGGAUGCGGGGGAUUCGCUGACGCUUAUGCACGAAAGCGUGGGGAGCAAACAGG
rnacentral:rRNA from 1 species